ensembl:snRNA U6 U6 spliceosomal RNA
GUGCUUGCUUUGGCAGCAUGUAUACUAAAAUUGGAACAAUGUUGAGAAGAUUAUCAAUGGCCCUUGCACAAGGAUGACAUGCAAAUUCAUUUAGCAUUCCAUAUUCUU